rnacentral:rRNA from 1 species
GAUGAACGCUGGCGGCGUGCCUAAUACAUGCAAGUCGAGCGAACAGACGAGGAGCUUGCUCCUCUGACGUUAGCGGCGGACGGGUGAGUAACACGUGGAUAACCUACCUAUAAGACUGGGAUAACUUCGGGAAACCGGAGCUAAUACCGGAUAAUAUAUUGAACCGCAUGGUUCAAUAGUGAAAGACGGUUUUGCUGUCACUUAUAGAUGGAUCCGCGCCGCAUUAGCUAGUUGGUAAGGUAACGGCUUACCAAGGCAACGAUGCGUAGCCGACCUGAGAGGGGGUUCGGCCACACUGGAGCUGAGCCACGGUCCAGACUCCUACGGGCGGCAGCGGUAGGGAAUCUUCCGCAAUGGGCGAAAGCCUGACGGAGCAACGCCGCGUGAGUGAUGAAGGUCUGCGUAUCGUAAAACGCUGUUAUUAGGGAAGAACAAAUGUGUAAGUAACGAUGCACGUCUUGACGGUACCUAAUCAGAAAGCCACGGCUAACUACGU